UUUCCCGGUUUUGACAAACAGAUGCAAUGGGAUGCCUACUGCUUCCCUGGCCCAAGUCCUGGGCUCACUUCACAGCCUGAUGCAGAGUUUCAGACCGCAGUCCUGCUGAACGGAUACCCGGCGUUCUUCGACCUCUUGUCGAAGUCUGCAGACGGGUGGAUGCGGGGCGCAGGCUUUUCCCUGAACGUUUUAACGUGGCCUUAGGUUAAAAAGCCCCAGAGCUCUCACCUUUGCACCUCCCCUUUAUCUUCCUCCUCCUCAUCAUCCCCAUCACUCCCCACCCUUCUCCACCACCAUCCCACCACCACCGAAGGACGUGCCCCUUUGGUAGUGUCGGGGCUCCCAGACCGAGCGAGGGGGAGGGCGCCUCCCAAUCCCCUCCUCCCCAUCCCUGCCUCAGCUCGGGGUUUUACUGCAGCAGCCGGGAGGUGACAGCGACGCCUUAGCCUCCUCUGUUGCUCUCGGAGCCCGGGUUUCCCCUGCACUGGGAAAGCGCCCUCUCCUGAGAGGCUAGUCCCGGGAGAAGUGCGAAAGAGCUACAGAAAACCAAAUUAUAAAAUGUAGAAGUCUCUGGGUUGCAUUCCUCCGAGGACGAGCCUAAUCUCCCAGGACAGAGUGGCAGCGUUUGGGAAGUUGGGACCAUAGAGCAAGAGGGGGAGGGGAGUGGUGCAACCGGCAUUCUCUUCUGGAAGGAGUCGCUGGGAGCCGUGCGGUUGGACCUAAGUUUGCGUAAGAGUGUUUUCCUUUUGUCAAUAAUUAAUCACCGGAAUCAGUCUGGCAGAAUUGGAGUUUUAGCAAUAGUGCAGAGGGCGGGGCUGAACACCUAACUCCUGGAGCCUCCGCGGCGCCCCGCGCAGAGGGAAGCUCGCAGCAGCUGGGGAGGAGCCAAAGCAUCCGAGCUCACCUAAAGCCGCAGGGAGGUACACCCGACUGGGGACUGGGAGAUGAAGAAACAGUAACCCAGAGAGGAGAAGUAACCUUAACAGGAUCAUUCCAAAGAGGAGAAAAGCUGAGAACCAGACCUGGCUGCUCCUGAGAAGGAAAAUGCAAACAUCCACACAAUGGGGAGCUCAAGGAGGAGGGUAAAGCUGCAUUGAUAUGUCCACACUGCUCUCCCCAGGAAAAAGAGAAAGACACUUGGCUAAAUUUGUCACCAAUGUAACCAGGAACUAUCUGGGGAUUGGCUGAGAAAGCACCUCAACAGCACUGUGUCUAUCACCAUGACCUUUGGAGUCAGCCUGGCUUUCCAUUUAUUACUCUACUUUCUAAAAAGCAGUAACAACUGAGAUGCAAACUUGGGUCACCAAGGGCAGUGUGAGGGCAGCAGGUACAUCAUUACUGGCGCAAAAAAUCAAAUCUAUGAAAAUUCAAUGUUGCUGUCCACCAUAAUAAGAAAAUCGCUGAACUCAUUCUCCAAAGCUUUCCAGACUGUGUAAUAAGAAAUAAAGAAGCCAAAAGAAGAAGCAGGGGAAGAGAGGGGUGGGGAAAGAGACCAGAAAGCAAAAAUAAAAAAUGUUUUAUAAGCACACCUGUUCAGUAUUACCUCUGAAAAAAAAUGUGCAAAGAAAACACACUAUAAGUAUAGAAAAUCUUACUGGAAAGCCUUCAACUGACCAGCUACCUACACAAUCAGUUUCCCUUUGGCAGAACUCUUGGAACUAGUGUUGAGUGGUUAUACUCUUGACAAAUCGAUAUUGCAGCAAUGUACCUUCACCCUCAAAUUGUUCCUUGGAUAAGCGUUCAGCUUCUGAAGAGUCCUCAAGUGUAAUAAUGAUUGGUAAGAAUGAGGUAAAGGCUUUAUUUUUCAUGGUCAAGUUUCUAGCUACUAAGACAGACAGAGUCCUUGGAAACAAACAGUAACUGGGUUCUUGACGUAAGUCUGGGUUUGAUGGCAAUGGAAGAGCUGGGGAAGAGAAGAAAAGGGCAGAAGUGUCCUGACGCUCAGCUGGUGAUGGAUUUUCGAGGAUAGUAGGAUGGACAAUAGCUUGAGCUGAAAGCUAAGUGCUCUAGGUGUUGAGAUCUGAGGAACCCUCUUUGCAAAAGCAGAGAAGCCUAUUUUAGGAUGUACAAUUCCCACAAGUACUGUAGGAGAUAAAGUUACUAAAAUUUCUCUUAUGCCAAAAAUAAACGUAAACAUGUCAACUCUUCUCAGAAGGUUCUAUGGAGUUUUACAGUUUUGAGUUUUCAUCACCUUCUGACAGCCAAGAAAGGAACUCCAAUUGGGACUUGACAACUAUUAUUAUUUGAAGACUUUGGGAGUGUUUAGUCAGCUGUGGAUGGCAUAUCCACGUGAUUUCAUUAAAGUAGUAAUGCUCCACUUCAGCUUGAGACUCUCAAUGUUCAUGAUUCUUUUUUUGAAAUGUUGUUCAGACUAUUUUAAAGUUUAUUUUUAAAUUUCUGGCCUUCUUGAUGUUAGGAUUUAUUCAUUGACAUUUAAAAAAAAACAUAUAGCAUAAAAUUUGCCAUCUUAACCAUCUCCAGGUGUACAGUUCAGGAGUGUUAAGUAUAUUCACAUUGCUGUGCAACCAGUCUCUAGAACUUCAUCGUUGUGCAGAACCCAAAUUCCAUCCUAUUAAAUGACAACUCUAUAUUUCCCCAAACUCAGCCCCAGGUAACCACCAUUCUACUUUCUGUUUCCAUGAGUUUAGCAACUCUCGAUACCUCAUGAAAGUAAAGUCACAUAGCAUUUUUCUUUUGUGGAGUAGUUUAUUUCACUUCAACAAGAUUCAUCCAUGUUGUAACAUGUGAUGGAAUUUCCUUCUUUUUCAAGGAUGAAUAAUAUUUCUCUGUGUGUGUGUGUGUGUGUGUGUAAUCUCAUCCUUUAUUGAUUCAUUAGAUGGAGGAUAUUUGUGUUGCUUCCACCUUUUGACUACUACAAUUAUGCUACUCUGAAUUUGGAUUUAAUGACUUUUCAAAAAUAACUUCAAGUGACUUAAAUUCAUGAUAGUAUUGUAGUUUUGUUCAUUGUUUUACCUCUAAAAGCAAUUUGGCACCUUUGGACACAAUGUCUUCAGAAAUGAAAAGUUACUCAGAAGUUAUACACUUUCCUCUUUCCUUCUUUAUAGAAUAACAGGUUUUUUUAACAUUUAUUUAUUUAUGUAUCUUUAGUUUUAGGCAGACACAUUAUUUUGUAUUUAUGUGGUGCUGAAGAUCGAUCCCAGUGCCUCAUGCAUGCUAGGUGAGCACGCUACCACUGAGCCACAACCCAGCCCCAUAGAAUAACAGUUUUUUUAAUUGUAAUCAAGAAGAUUGUCUUAAGACACACAUUGUAGCUAAACCUUUGCCCAGAUGCCCACCCUCCAUUCCAGUACUUUCAGAAGGAAACAAGGACACUGCCUUGUUUCUAUGCCAUUAUAUGAAAGGACAUCAGAAACAAGACAAACUCUAUUGUCCUCCAUCCCAUUACAAAAUUCUCUUUCCAUUCAUAACAUCUCAGUCUUUAUAUACUUGCUACUCAUUUUAGCUUCAAAACAAACCUUUUGAAAACAACAUAACAUUAAAACAGAACAGUUGAAUUUAGUAAGUCCUAAAUUAUUAUAAUCAUUAAAGUCAAAUUCCAAAUUUUGUUUCCUAGCCAGAAAUCCUUCAUUCAUAAAUUCCUCUGGAGUCUGCCAGAGUAUGCCAAAAACCAAAGUCUGUGUUGAAAUACUCAACACUGGUCUUAUCACAUAAUGGCAUCCCUUGAUUGACUGGAAAACCCUGUUUUCUAUUCUGCUUUUAUUAGUGUUAAUGAAAAUUAGAGGCAAUAAGUUUAGUUCAUAUGCCACAAAACACUCUGUACCAGCUUGGCUACAUUGUUGGUAAUUUUUUUUUCCUUUUAAUAUAUUAUUUUACUAAUAAUGAACUCACUUCUAAUAAUAGCAACUCACUUUUAAGUACAAGGUUACAAAAUUUAAUUAGAGUAAUUGAGUUGCCUAAAAGCAAUACAUACCUUUGACUUACAAUGGUUUCUUCCUCUCUGGAGAAUCCAUAGAAUUAUCCCACUCCUCCUGAAAGCGUAAAGAAAGUCCCUUAAUUGCCCCAUGGUUGUUUAAUUUUCUUUCUUGGCUUUGAUCAUCACAAAUUUAAUUUGUCUUUUUAGCUCUCUAGUCCGACUUCAAGUAUUCACUCUUCUGUCAACAUGAGAAACUAGUUGCCAAAGGAAGGCUGGAGAGCAUCCUAACCUGGAAAGGGAAUUCCAAGAAAAUAUUAGGAAGGAUGAAAUAUGGAACUUUCUGUAGGACAUCAAAAACAUUGGGGUCACCAACAGAAAAAUUAGAGCCAGAUGUACAGACACUAAAAAACCAGCAAGCUCCUGUUGUGCCUAAUUCUUACAAAGAUACAUUAUGAGAUGAGAAAGCUGCAAUGUGUUCAAUUCUCCUAGUGCUCCAGCCUGGGAUUACUUCCUUUAGAACCACUUUCUACCUGCUAAUCUUAAAUUAUUACUCAGUUACGAUAAGCACUUGUAAAAACCACAUUAGAGGGGUUUAAAUCCACCUCACAUGUGUUUCUUAUUCUCCACAGAGUCCAUGAACUUUUAACAUUAUGAGAAACUAAAAAAGCAUUUGUUAUAUAUUUCUUAAAAAAAAAUAGUACUGUCUCUCUUCCAUCCUUCAAAAAGACAGAUGGUACAGAAUUUGCAGAAAAUAAUCUGUCUAAACUCAUUGCCUGAAAGCAGGCAAUGUGAAUUCAUAAAUAACUUGUAUGAGUUCCCCCAUCAUCCUGAGUAAAUAUUAAAUAAGCCCAAGUGUGGUUCUGCCCUCAAUAACCUUACAAUUUUUGGUUAUUCAGUCAGUCAAUCAACCAACUUACCUGCCAGGCACUGCAGAUAAAGAGUUAAAUGCUACACAUUCCACAUGUUCAGACCUCACAGGCUAGUGGGGAAAUCGGUUGUACUUAGCUAAUUUUAAUACAGUAUAGUGUUGAAAUGUUGCUACAAUGGUAACACGUAGAAAGCAAUAUAUUUCUUUGGCAGACAGGGAAGGUCUUCAGAGAAUCAUUCACAGUAGAGACAAUAUAAGAAGUGGGCCUUGAAAAUAUAUAGGAUUUUAUUUGGCAGAGAAGGGGCACAAGAGAAUUUCUAGGAAAGAAAAGAGUGUGAACUAAAACAUGGAAGACUUAGAAUCAAUGGUAUUUAGCAGGAGAGUUGAGAGACGAAGCUGGAGAGGUGAAGGAAUCAAACUGUGCAGGGCCUUAAAUGUUUCAUUUCAUAAGAAUAGCGAACCAUUGGAGGUUUUCAAGCAGAGAAAUGAACUCUAUGUUUAGAAAGUUAAUUAUAACAGCAGCAUGGAAGAUUGUAAUCUCAAAGGGAGACAAGUUGGUAAGCUGUUUCAUUAGCCCAAGAGAUGGAGAGAUUCUGCAGUAAAGUACAAUAAAACUUUCUGCAGUAAUGGAGAUAUUCUACAUAAAUGCUAUUCAAUAUGGUAGCCACAUGUCACAUGUGCACUUGAAAUUUAAAUUUCCACAUGUGCCUAGUGGCUGCUCUAUUGAACAGUACAGAGAUAUCUUAGAGAAGCUAGCCCUUGAGUUAAGCCCUUAAAAUAGUUUUCCAAUUGUAAGUUGCAAUCAGUGAGCUAAGAAAUCUAUGUGGUAUAUCACAACUGGGAUGUUUUUAAUGAAAAGAGAGAAUAACAGAAUAGGGUAGAAUAUACUAUAAUAAUAUAAUAGAAGAGAAUAGAACAUAAAAUAUCAGCAUCCAUCUCAAAGAUAGUAUUAUUUGGAGAGUGUUUGUUUCAGUUACAUGAUCAUGUACGUACACUGGAUCACAAUGCAAACUGUAUUUUUUCCUAUUGUAUUUUAAAAUGUUUAAAGCCAGUCCCUUGUAGGAGGAAUUGUUUAACCUACAUACAAGAGUUAUUGGGAAAAGAUUUUCAUAAGGCAAAGAUAACUAACAUAAGCAAAAUUCACUAGAGUUUAGAACAAAGAUAACUCCAGACCUUUCAAGAACUUCCUAAUUCUUUUUCUUUGAAAUUUUAAAAUAGACUUAAUUUUUUAGAACAAUUUUCAGAAAAAUCAAGAUGAUGCUACAGAGAAUUCCCACAUAUCCUGAACCUAAUUUCCCCUAUUCAAAUCUUACCUCAGUAUGACAUAUUUGUUACAACUGAUGAGACAAUAGUGAUACACUAUUAUUAACUAAAUUCCCUACUUUACUCAGAUUUCCUUAGUUUUUACCUAAUAUCAUUUUUCUGAUGCAGGACUCCAUCUGGGGCACCACAUUACAAUUAGUCAUUACAUUUCCUUGAGCUCCUCUGAGCUGUGACCAUUUUUCACACUUUUUU